rnacentral:lncRNA from 1 species
AAAUAUGUAAAAAAAAAAGAAAAAAAAGUGUUUUGCGACCUUCUUGUUUCCUGGAUCUCUGAUUCCUCAGAACUGGAGCGUGCUGAUGAUGAAAGAUAAGGCAUAAAGAUAAACUUCUGGACUUAUCUGUGGUCCACUGUGGGAAGGGUUGAGAGGAUGAUGAGGGAGCUGUAGCUGUAUAAAGGGAGAAGGAAGUGGGAAGCACGGAUUUUAGGGAGUAAAGCAAGUUAAAGGUGGUGGUCCUGAGACUGAAAGAUAGAAGAAGAGAGUGAGGCUUAUUUGGGCCAAAAAAAGGAAAAGAAAAAUCUACCGUAACUGGAUAAUGACAAUAACAAAAAUGCGCAGCUCUUGAGGUAUAUUAAAUAGCUCCCCAUCUGUGAUCCCUGCAACAGACCAGUGUUUUUUUUUUUUUUCCUCCAUCUUGCUUUGCUAUUGAGGAGUUAGGCCAGGAAGAGAUGGGGUUGCAACUGGGAGCCACUGUAUCACAAUAUACACAGUGUUCGCCAUCUAACUUGCAUUUAAUAUUUGUUUGAAUUCACUGAUCCUCUUCUAAUGCACAAGUGAUAUUCCAGACUCUCUUGUAAGAGAUUGCAGCACCAUUUUAGUUUUAGUGCUAUAAAGUGUUUUGGCAGGAAGGAGGAAGAGCUUUGCACAAUGAGAAUGGGGGCAAGGAAAUACCGUUCUAACGGUGUUGUCUGGCCGCCAAACUCUCCCUAUGCUGGAACCUCUGUCGCUGGAACUGCUGUUGACUUGGUUUCUCUGAAGCCGAGCUUGACAGUCAGUUGCCUUUAUGCUGAGCUGUUAAACCUAAUUCUGCCUACUCUGACCCUCAUUUUGGCUGGAGGCCAGUCAUCACAGUAUCAGAUGGUGGACUUUAGUUGUUUACAGUUCAGCUCCGGUGCAGGGAAGUGCCAGGGAUCAGAGACUGGCAGCGCUCUGCAGGAGGCUGGGAAAGAACAGCUUGCAUUUACAGAGAAAGGGACUGUCGGAGGACCAGAAUGGUUGAAAACGAAACCGGUUUCGAGAAGCCAGCGGCGGCGAGGCUCCAAGGCAGGCGCAGGCAGCCGGGAGCCCGCAGCGCGUGGGGCGACGACCGCCCGGGCCUGUCUUCCCGCCGGCCCCGGAGAACACCCUGUACGCGCCGCCGAGGCCGGGGGAGGCGGCGGGGGGAGCCGGUCCCGGCCCCCGGCUCCC